rnacentral:lncRNA from 1 species
GCCCACGGAGUGGUGGCCAGGCUCCUGAGCCACAGACACGGUGAGUCCUGAAGGCUAAGGACUGAAUCCGGUCCCUCUCAAAUCUGCAUGUUGAAGGCCUACCCUGCACUGUGGUUAUAUUUGGAGAUGUAGCCUUUAGGGAGGUAAUUGAGAUUAAAACUGAGGUCCAAGGGGGAGCCUGAUCUGCUAGGACUGGUGCCCUUGCCAGAGGAGCGAGACGGACACCAGGGCUGCACGUGGAGAGAAAUGUGUAUGAGGACGGUGAGAAGGUGGCCCACAAGAGAGACCGCGAGAGGAAGUGAACCUGCUGAUACCCUCAUCUCGGUUUUCUGGCUUCCAGAACCCUGAGAGAAUAAAUAAACUUCCAGUCCGUGGUGCCCUGUUAUGAUACCCUCAGCUGACUGAUACAAGCUGCUCAGUUUGGGGGUCAUUUGUUACACAGCAAAGGACGACAAAUACAACCAUCAGCCGACACUGCAUUCCCAUUCCCUCUGGGCUGGGAGCUGGGUAGAACAAGACCAAAGCCCUGGCCCAUAAGAAUGGAUCUCAGUCCACACGGAAAGACAAACACAGAAGAUGAAGUAAAAGGCUAGGGUGGGAGAAGACCCCUCAGGACGAAGACACCGCUUGGGGAGACGUGGAUGCAGGAGAGACCACGACACAUGGUCCUGCCCGCUCUGUGCUCCCCCUGGGGACACAGGCUCGGCCGUCUCAGAUACAGCAUCCUCUCCACGUUGUAGCUGAUGCGUGGACGCCGAAAGAGGUUAUGUUGGCUGAGGUCCCGAAGCUCAUCCCGGAGUCGCCAGGAUUCACGGGCAGGAUGAAGCCCCCCGGCCCCAAGAGCAACCUCCAUUGGCAGCGGGGUCAUUGCUGAUGUGACUGGUUAAGGGGCAGGAGGAGAGUGAGCCCUGAUGAGCCCUGAAGGAGGCGCCUGUGCAGACGGACAAGGAGGAGCCCCUCGCGGACCCCAGCGGAGACCGAGGUCAGGAAGGGCGGGGCACAGGGCGGCUGGGGCUUCUGGAAGCUGAAAGCGGCAAGAGGUUCUCGGGCAGGCUUCAGAGGGAGCCCCGCCUUCCUGAGGCCUUGAUCUUGGACAGUAAGAGAAUAGACCUCUGCUGUUUCACCCCACUCCCCAGCCCCAAAUCCCCCAUCCUCACAGCAAGAAUCCCAGUGUCUUACUUAAAGAAGA